UACAGAGGUCCCAAGCGUUGUUCGGAUUCAUUGGGCGUAAAGCGCGCGUAGGUGGCUUCGUAAGUCCGUUGUGAAAGUCAAAGGCUCAACCUUUGAAAGCCGAUGGAUACUGUGAAGCUAGAGUACGGAAGAGGCGAGUGGAAUUCCUGGUGUAGCGGUGGAAUGCGCAGAUAUCAGGAGGAACACCAAUAGCGAAGGCAGCUCGCUGGGACGUUACUGACACUGAGGCGCGAAAGCGUAGGGAGCGAACAGG
rnacentral:rRNA from 1 species